rnacentral:rRNA from 1 species
UACGGGGGGGGCAAGCGUUGUUCGGAAUUACUGGGCGUAAAGGGCUCGUAGGUGGCCAACUAAGUCAGACGUGAAAUCCCUCGGCUUAACCGGGGAACUGCAUCUGAUACUGGAUGGCUUGAGAUUGGGAGAGGGACGCGGAAUUCCAGGUGUAGCGGUGAAAUGCGUAGAUAUCUGGAGGAACACCGGUGGCGAAGGCGGCGUCCUGGACCAACACUGACACUGAGGAGCGAAAGCCAGGGGAGCAAACGGA